AAAAGUUUGAUCAUAGCUCAGAUUAAACGCUGGCGGCAGGCCUAACACAUGCAAGUCGAGCGGCAGCGAGAGAAAACUUGCUUCCUUUCCGGCGAGCAGCGGACGAGUAAAUAAAGUAUAAAGAUCUAGCCGAAAGCAAAAAAUAACCACUAAAAACGGUAGCUAAUACCGCAUAAUCUCUAAGAAAAAAGUGGGGGCCAUUUUCUGGCCUCACACCUUCGGAUGAACUCAUAUGAGAUUAGCUAGUAGCUGGGGUAAUAACGCACCUAAGCGACGAUCUCUAGCUGGGCUAAAAAGAUAAUCAGCCACACUGAGACUAAGAAACAGCCCAGACUCCUACAAAAGGCAAAAGUAGAGAAUAUUGCACAAUGGGCGUAAGCCUGGUGCAGCCGUGCCGCGUUUAUGAAGAAAGCCUUCGAGUUAUAAAGUACUUUCAGUCGUGAGGAAAAUGUUAAGGUUAAUAACCUUGACAAUUGACGUUAGCGAUAGAAAAAGCACCGGCUAACUCCGUGCCAGCAGCCGCGGUAAUACGGAGAGUGCAAGCCAAGCAUUAAUCAAAAUUACUGGGCGUAAAAGGCACGCAAGUAAUUAAUUAAAUUCGAUGUGAAAUCCCCAGGCUUAACCUAAAAAUAGCAUUCAAGACUGGUUAGCUAAAGUCUUGUAGAGAGGGGGUAAAAUUCCAUGUGUAGCGGUGAAAUGCGUAGAGAUGUGGAGAGGAAUACCAGUGGGGAAAACAAGGGGGCCCCCUAGACAAAGACUGACGCUCAUGUGCGAAAGCGUGGGAAGCAAACAAGAUUAGAUACCCUGGUAGUCCACGCUGUAAACGAUGUCGAUUUGGAAGUUUUGGUCAUGAACUGUGGCCUGCGAAGCUAACGCGUUAAAUCGACCGCCUAGGGAGUACGGCCGCAAAGUUAAAACUCAAAUGAGUUGACGGGGGCCCGUCACAAGCGGUGGAGAAUGUGGUUUAAUUCGAUGCAACGCGAAGAACCUUACCUACUCUUGACAUCCAGCAAAUCCUUUAGAGAUAGAGAAGUGCCUUCAGGAGCGCUAAGACAGGUGCUGAAUAGCUGUCGUCAGCUCGUGUUGUGAAAUGUUAAGUUAAGUCCCGCAACGAGCGCAACCCUUAUCCUUUUUUGCCAGCGAUUCGGUCGGGAACUCAAAGGAGACUGCCGAUGAUAAACCGGAAGAAGGUAGGGAUGACGUCAAGUCAUCAUGACCCCUACGAGUAGGGCUACACACGUGCUACAAUAGCUUAUACAGAGAGAGGCAAACCGAAAAGCAAAACUCAGAAAGUACGUCAAAGUCCAGAUUAGAGUCUGCAACUCGACUCCAUGAAGUCGGAAUCGCUAGUAAUCGCAGAUCAGCAUGUCGCGGUGAAUACGUUCCCGGGCCUUGUACACACCGCCCGUCACACUAUAAAAGUAGAUUGCAAAAGAAGUAGGUAGCUUUAACCUUUUGAGAUAGCGCUUACCACUUUGUGAUUCAUGACUGGGGUGAAGUCGUAACAAGGUAACCGUAGGGGAACCUGCGGUUAAAUCACCUCCUU
rnacentral:rRNA from 1 species